CAUUUCUUGUUUUUUUCCAGAAUUUUAUUUGGCAAGCAGUAUGGGUGUCUGUGGGAGGAAAGAAACUGAAUUAAAGUGGGGGAAAUACAGGAUGGAGCUUGAUAGGGUGUGUCCUCAGAUGUGUGCACAUGUGUCACACUUGCAAAUUGGGUAAUUGCAUAUUUAGUUUCCUGUCUGUAUGCAUGUGUGGGAGCAAAUGUACGGUUUGUCUGCUAUAAGGGAGAUACAUGCACUGAGGGCAUCAUCAUUUUCAGACUGUUUUGAACCUAGUGCACUGGAAGAACUUACACUAUGGUGUAAGUCACUAUGGUGACUCAGAAAUUCAGGCUCAGUUUUAUGUCUGUCUAGUAAAUCUUGGUAAUAAUUGUGAUGUUAAAUGUGUUUUGAGGUAUACUAGCUUCAAUUCAGCAUGAAUAUGUUGUUGUUGUCUCUGGGGAGGCCUGUUGUCUUCAGGUCUGAGCAUGGCAUGGCUGUCAGCAGUAUUACUCCAUUAUAACUACCGGUAUGUUCUUGGUACUGUGUUCUUCUUGAGGAAAAAUACCCCCACUGCUAUAUUUUUCUUCUUGGAGCUGCCAUUGGAUAGCUUGAAAUAAAUCUGAAAAUGGAGGGAGACAGAGGACACAUGCAGGUCAACAUUCAGUGACAGUGAGGAGAGACAUAGAAGGACGAUGAGGUUUUCUUGUAAACAGUUUGUACUGAUAGUUAACAAAAAGAAUAAAUUUAAUGCUUGCUCUCACAUUUCUAUUCUGUAUUCCUAGCCUCCCACCUGAUGAUGCUCAUCUUCCAUUUGGAGUCCUUCCAGUUAUAACUACGAAAAAUACGCUAUUUCUGAUAUGCCAAUAAAUAUACUUGCUUGCUAGUCCUAAAAAACAACUCCCUGCAAUUACCGUUGUGGUAACUGCACAUAAUGAAUGAUAGAGUUAGUGGUGAAAGGUUUCACUGUCAUAGCCACCAUUUUAUAUUUAAAAAUUUCAAAAUAAGUACCACACUGUUUGCAGUUGGUAUUAUGUGUUCUGAAAUAUCUGAAAGAGUUGAAUUAGGAUGUGCUACCGGGAACUUACUAGGCCACCUGGGCAUGCAUUGUCUUCUGUAUCUGAAGCUAAAGUCCAAGCAUUUUUACUCUAGAACACAAACAUAUUUCACAGUUAUGUAAAUAACAUGAUGAAACUAUAAGCU
rnacentral:lncRNA from 1 species